GUGGGGAAUUUUGGACAAUGGGCGCAAGCCUGAUCCAGCAAUGCCGCGUGCAGGAAGAAGGCCUUCGGGUUGUAAACUGCUUUUGUACGGAACGAAACGGUCCGGGUUAAUACCCUGGGCUAAUGACGGUACCGUAAGAAUAAGCACCGGCUAACUACGUGCCAGCAGCCGCGGUAAUACGUAGGGUGCAAGCGUUAAUCGGAAUUACUGGGCGUAAAGCGUGCGGAGGCGGUUUUGUAAGACAGGCGUGAAAUCCCCGGGCUCAACCUGGGAAUUGCGCUUGUGACUGCAAGGCUGGAGUGCGGCAGAGGGGGAUGGAAUUCCGCGUGUAGCAGUGAAAUGCGUAGAUAUGCGGAGGAACACCGAUGGCGAAGGCAAUCCCCUGGGCCUGCACUGACGCUCAUGCACGAAAGCGUGGGGAGCAAACAGGAUUAGAAACCCGUGUAGUCC
rnacentral:rRNA from 1 species